AGCGAACGCUAGCGGCAGGCUUAACACAUGCAAGUCGAGCGCCAGGUUUCGGCCUGGAGCGGCGAACGGGUGAGUAACACGUAGGUCACGUAACCUAUGGUGGGGAAUACCCCGGGGAAACUCGGAUCAAUGCCCCAUAUGUCCGAAAGGAUGAAAGCGCUUCGGCGCGCCAGGGGAUCGGCCUGCGGCCCAUUAUUUAAUCCUAGUUGGUGAGGUAACGGCUCACCAAGGGUACGAUGGGUAGCUGGUCUGAGAGGACGAUCAGCCACACUGGAACUGAGACACGGUCCAGACUCCUACGGGAGGCAGCAGUGGGGAAUAUUGGACAAUGGGCGAAAGCCUGAUCCAGCCAUGCCGCGUGAGUGAUGAAGGCCUUCGGGUUGUAAAGCUCUGUCGUGGGGGAAGAAGUUCUGACGGUACCCCACAAGAAAGCACCGGCUAACUCCGUGCCAGCCGCCGCGGUAAUAC
rnacentral:rRNA from 1 species